rnacentral:rRNA from 1 species
GACGAACGCUGGCGGCGUGCUUAACACAUGCAAGUCGAACGGAGUGGCGAACGCGUGAGUAACAUGUCGGUGACCUGCCCUGCACUUCGGGAUAAGCCUGGGAAACUGGGUCCAAUUCCGGCUAGUGUGGGAUGGGCUCGCGGCCUAUCAGCAUGUUGGUGGGGGAAUGGCCUCCCAAGGCGGCGACGGGUAGCCGGCCUGAGAGGGUGGACGGCCACAUUGGGACUGAGACACGGCCCAGACGCGUACGGGAGGCAGCAGUGGGGAGUAUUGCACAAUGGGCGGAAGCCUGAUGCAGCGACGCCGGGGGGGGGAUGACGGCCUUCGGGUUGGAAACUCCUUUCACCAUCGACGCGGUAGAUGGAGAAGAAGCACCGGCUAACUACGUGCCAGCAGCCGCGGUAAUUC